UGUAGCUCAGUGAUAGAGCACAUGCUUCGCAUGCAGGAAGCCCUGGGUUCAAUUCUCAGCA
rnacentral:tRNA from 1 species